CAACCGACCAUCUACAGUGCAAUUCAGGGAGAAGCUUCCAUGGUUCCUAAAUGCUCUGCCAUCUGCUGAUUGUGCAAAGGGUGGUCAUGGGGCUUAUACCAACAGUGUGGAUCUAAAUGGUUAUGAGACUGGUGUUAUACAAGCUUCAGAGUUUCGUACAUAUCACACACCGCUUAACAAACAAGGUGACUAUGUUAAUGCAAUGCGAGCUGCGCGGGAAUUCAGUUCAAGAAUAUCUGAUUCUCUGAAGAUCAACAUCUUUCCAUAUUCUGUGUUCUACAUCUUCUUUGAGCAAUAUCUGGAUAUUUGGAGGAUAGCUUUGAUCAAUAUUGCUAUAGCCCUUGGUGCUAUAUUUAUUGUUUGCCUGCUUAUCACUUCCAGUUUUUGGAGUUCUGCUAUCAUUCUACUUGUUUUGCUGAUGAUUGUUGUCGAUCUAAUGGGUAUAAUGGCAGUUCUGGAUAUUCAACUAAACGCUGUCUCCGUCGUAAACCUUAUAAUGUCAAUAGGAAUUGCUGUUGAGUUUUGUGUACAUAUUGCACAUGCUUUCUUGGCAAGUCAAGG
rnacentral:misc_RNA from 1 species